GAAUUAUAAAGAGGAGUUGAGAGACGGGCUCUGUGAAACUCCGACAACCUCAGUGAUACUGAAAGGUGCCAAAACCCGUCCUGAAAAAAUCAGGAAUUAUAAUUU
rnacentral:ncRNA from 2 species